CUCAACCCUAACGGUGAUUCGUUCCAUUUCCUAGUGUCUUGAGGUCUAGAAUCUUCAAGAAUUUUCUGUCCUCUUUUUUUUCUUGUGAGUCGAUAGAAAUUCUUUGAGUGAGAAAUGAGUCUUGGUAAUUUCUUUGUGUGAAUUAGGCCGUUGAUCUGUUGUUGUAUCCAUUUUAUGGUCCAUUGUUGUGACUUCAUACUUGUGGAUUUGUGAGGGUUCUUGGGUUUGUUCAGAGCCUCUGUGAUGAUUCAAAUGGGCACAAGUGUCUAAGCCUAAUCUUGUUGAAGUCUUGGUGUCUACUGGUUUAGUUUGUAACAAUAUUCAAGUAUAAUAUGCAAAUCUGUAAUUUUUGUACAUUGAGUUUGUAAUGAUAGUAGUAUCAGAGCUUUUUCGACUGUUCUCUAGGCUUUGAUUGAAGAUUGGACCCUGGAAAGUUAAUUUUCAAUGUUCAUCUUGUGAUUGAUUGUAAUUUUGUUGAACCCUAGAUAUGGAUCGAUUUCGAUCUAUGGGUUAGACUUACAGAUUAGUCUUCUUACUAUUUAAAUUUGAAAGUUCUUUGUGAUUAGUGGUUCGAUCUGAAAUAGUGACCCCAAACUUGAAAUCCUUGGUAGAUUGAUCCUUGAGGUGGAACACUGGAUCUUAGCUAUAGCAAAGAGGCUCUGUAUAACCCCUACUAUUUGGUGGUUAAAUCCUAAGAACCACCCUUUGGUUUGCGACAUUUUUUACUCCUAUAACAUUCUAUAUUUUCUAUUCAUGUUUGUUUCUCUUACGUAAUACUGUUGUAAAUUGUAAAGUAAACAUUAAUUGUUUACUGUGACCUGCUAUAUAAGAUCAUAUAGUCUUCCUGAUGUAUUCAAAUUGAGCCUUGACUUGAGAACAUUAUUCUCAUGGAAUCCUGGUGAAUUUGAUCAUCUUGGGCGACUAUUGGUGAUAUAUUCUUUCAUUCUUUAGAUCAUUUGAUCUUGACUGUGUGUUUAACUAUAAUAUUUAUUACCGUGU
rnacentral:lncRNA from 1 species